UACGUAGGGUGCGAGCGUUGUCCGGCAUUAUUGGGCGUAAAGAGCUCGUCGGCGGUUCGUUACGUCUGCCGUGAAAACCCGGGGCUCAACCCCAGGCCUGCGGUGGAGACGGGCGGACUAGAAUCCGGUAGGGGAGACUGGAAUUCCUGGUGUAUCGGUGGAAUGCGCAGAUAUCAGGAGGAACACCGGUGGCGAAGGCGGGUCUCUGGGCCGGAACUGACGCUGAGGAGCGAAAGCGUGGGGAGCGAACAGG
rnacentral:rRNA from 1 species